CUGGGGAGUACGGUCGCAAGAUUAAAACUCAAAGGAAUUGACGGGGACCCGCACAAGCGGUGGAUGAUGUGGAUUAAUUCGAUGCAACGCGAAAAACCUUACCUACCCUUGACAUGGAUGGAAUCCUUGAGAGAUUGAGGAGUGCCCGAAAGGGAACCAUUACACAGGUGCUGCAUGGCUGUCGUCAGCUCGUGUCGUGAGAUGUUGGGUUAAGUCCCGCAACGAGCGCAACCCUUGUCAUUAGUUGCUACGAAA
rnacentral:rRNA from 1 species